rnacentral:rRNA from 1 species
CACAAUCAAAGAGGGUGAUAAUCCCGUAUCUAAAAACCAUAUUGUGGUACUAAGCUAACGAGAAGUAGGGCGGGACACGUGAUAUCCUGUUUGAAGAAGGGGGGACCAUCCUCCAAGGCUAAAUACUCCUGAUUGACCGAUAGUGAACCAGUACUGUGAAGGAAAGGCGAAAAGAACCCCGGUGAGGGGAGUGAAAUAGAACCUGAAACCUUGUACGUACAAGCAGUGGGAG